rnacentral:rRNA from 1 species
GACGAACGCUGGCGGCGUGCUUAACACAUGCAAGUCGAACGGAAAGGCCCUGCUUUUGUGGGGUGCUCGAGUGGCGAACGGGUGAGUAACACGUGAGUAACCUGCCCUUGACUUUGGGAUAACUUCAGGAAACUGGGGCUAAUACCGGAUAGGAGCUCCUGCUGCAUGGUGGGGGUUGGAAAGUUUCGGCGGUUGGGGAUGGACUCGCGGCUUAUCAGCUUGUUGGUGGGGUAGUGGCUUACCAAGGCUUUGACGGGUAGCCGGCCUGAGAGGGUGACCGGCCACAUUGGGACUGAGAUACGGCCCAGACUCCUACGGGAGGCAGCAGUGGGGAAUAUUGCACAAUGGGCGGAAGCCUGAUGCAGCAACGCCGUGUGCGGGAUGACGGCCUUCGGGUUGUAAACCGCUUUCGCCUGUGACGAAGCGUGAGUGACGGUAAUGGGUAAAGAAGCACCGGCUAACUACGU